GUUGGACUGGGGUGUCCAGAUGAAGGGGAGGGGAGGAUUAUAGGAAUGGGACAGAAAAAAAUCAAAUAGUUUUCUUUGACAAAACUUCAAAUACUAUGGGACUAGACUGAGGAAAUGUUUUUAAUAAGUUUAUUUCUUGAAAUUGGAUCUUAAUUACUCUUUGGAAGAUAAUCUUUCCGAAAACAUUGUCAGUUCCUGAAUUUUAACAUAAAUUAACUAGUUAAUAGGAAUAAUAGGAGCUGGUCAUCCAUCUUUUUUUUUUUUUUUUUUUUCUGAACGGUAAGGAAUUUACCUUAAUUUACUUGUAUCAAUAUGCUUCUUGGGCAAAUAGUGACCCAUGAGUCUAGCUAAGCAAAAGGACAAUUGUACAUCUGCCCUCCUACAUUAUUUAUGGCAUUGUCCUCUUUUCUUUUUUAGGGGGGAGGGAGGUGGGGGAAGCUAGUAUGUAUGAGAAAAGAAUUCAGUUUCCAUACAUACGUACAUUUGUUUUCUAUUGCAGCAAUAACAAGUUGCCAAAAACUUAGUAGUUUAAAACAACACAAAUUUAUCAUCUCACACUUACGUAAAUCAGAAGACCCGGUGGGUUAGCCCAGUUCCUCUGCUGUAGUCUUCACAAGCCCAAGAUCAAGGUGUUAGGCUCUGGGGGCAAAUCUGCUUCCAAGCUCAUUCAGAUUGUUAACAGAAUUCAGUUGCUUAUAUUUGUAGGUCUGAGGUCCCAUUCCUUGCUGCUGUCAGCUGGGAUCCUCUCUCAGUUGCUUCAAGUGUCAUCCAGUCCUCCAUCUUCAGACCGGCAAUGGUGUGUGGAAUCCUUAUGCUUCAAAUAUCUCUGACUUCACUUUCCUCCACAUCUGUCCUACCUCCAGCCACAGAAAGUUUUCUGUUUUUAAGAGGCCAGGUAAUUAAGUGAGACCCACCCAGAUAUUCCAGGAUAAUUUCCUGAUAUUGAGGUCCAUAAUUUCAAUGACAUCUGCAAAGUCUCUUUGCUAUGUAACAUGUUCACAGGUUCUGGGAACAUUUUGGGGAGUCAUUCUGCUACAGUGCCAUCUAUGAAAGGUGUUUUAUAAACCCAAAAAUGUUUAGUUAAAAAUUGUUUCAUCAUAGCAGUCACUCGACUUGGCAUAGAAUAAAUAUUGACCUAGUAACUUAAAAUGGAAAAUUUGAAGUAUUUGAAAAAUACAACUCAGAUGCCAGUAGGGUCCAAGCGUAUUGGUGACUAAAACCCCCCUUCAGACUUGCAGUGGCAUACCGUUCCACUGUAUAUCAGUUCCAUGGCCACAUUUAUAAUGGUGGAUAAAGUUAACAAAACGUUUGAAACUUGUAAAUCAGAUACUUUAAAAAUACCAGAGAGCCUACUAUUUAGAUGAAUUCUUUGUUUUAUGGAUUUUUCUUUUUUUGGUUUUUUUUUGUUGUUGUUGUUGUUGUUUUUGUUUUUGUUUUGAGACAGAGGUCGCCCAGGUUGGAGUGCAGCAGCGCCAUCUCUGCUCACUGCAACCUCCGCCUCCUGGGUUCAAGCAAUUUUCCUGCCUCAGCCUCCAGAGUAGCUAGGACUACAGGCGUGCGCCACCAUGCCCAGCUAGUUUUUUUGUAUUUUUAGUAGAGGCAGGGUUUCACCAUGUUGGCCACACUGGUCUCAGUCUCCUGACCUCAUGAUCCACCUGCCUCGGCCGCCCAAAGUGCUGGGAUUACAGGCGUGAGCCACCACACCCGGUCAGAUUUUUCUUAAGAUGGGAUGUACUUAACUUUCCGUUUGUUGACUGUCAAAUUCUCUACAAGAUUAUUUGAAUUCCAAAGCAACAUUAUUGUGUAAAUGUCAGCCAGUUGGUUAAUAAAAUGUAAAGUGAGAAACUGCCAAAAUAAUCUUAAACUGUAAGAAAGGCAAAAAUAAUAAUAAAAGGACAAUGGGAUGCAUGAAAAUGGCCAGUUUCCCUUUACUAUUAUUCCAAAGCUUUAUUGGCCUUCAUUUCCUUUUCUAGGAGUACUUUGUAAGGCUCGCUGAAAAAAAUUCCAUAGGUUUUUGUUUUGUUUUAAUUGUGUUAAAAUACACAUAACAUAAAAUUUACGUUUUUAACUAUACAAUCUACUGUGUUAGGUAUAUUCACAUUUUUGUGCAACCAGUCUUCAGAACUUUUUGAUCUUGCAAAACUGAGACUCUAUACCCAUUAAACAACAACUCCCCAUUUCUCCCUCCCCUCAGUCCCUGGUAAUCAUCAUUCUGCUUUCUGUCUCUGCAUUUGACUGGAUAACCUCAUUUAAGUGAAAUGAUACAGUAUUUGUUUUGUGACUGGCUUAUUUCACUUAGCAUAGUCCUCAGGGUUUAUCUAUGUUGCAGCAUGUAUCAGAAUUUCCUUCCUUUUUAAGGCUGAGUAAUAUUCCACUGUGUAUGUAUAUGCCACAGAAAUCAAGCUAAUUUUCUUUUUUAUUAUUAUUAUACUUUAAGUUCUAGGGUACAUGUGCAC
rnacentral:lncRNA from 1 species